GUGAAUCAUCAAAUCUUUGAACGCAAAUUGCACUCUCUUCUAAGAGUAUGCCUGUUUGAGGGUCAGCCUCAAAAAAAAUCUACAUAGUCGCUGUUUAUCGGUGACCUUGGUCCGAAAUUUGCUCCUCUUAAACCUUUUGGGUUUUAUCGGCUUAAAAUUUUCUUUACGAUUCCACGAACGGGUCGAAGGUUUG
rnacentral:misc_RNA from 1 species